ACUCCUACGGGAGGCAGCAGUGGGGAAUAUUGCACAAUGGGCGAAAGCCUGAUGCAGCAACGCCGCGUGCGGGAUGACGGCCUUCGGGUUGUAAACCGCUUUCAGUAGGGACGAAGGGUGACUGACGGUACCUACAGAAGAAGGACCGGCUAACUACGUGCCAGCAGCCGCGGUGAUACGUAGGGUCCGAGCGUUGUCCGGAAUUAUUGGGCGUAAAGGGCUUGUAGGCGGUUCGUCGCGUCAGAAGUGAAAACUCAGGGCUUAACCCUGAGCCUGCUUUUGAUACGGGCGGACUAGAGGGAUGCAGGGGAGAACGGAAUUCCUGGUGGAGCGGUGGAAUGCGCAGAUAUCAGGAGGAACACCGGUGGCGAAGGCGGUUCUCUGGGCAUUACCUGACGCUGAGAAGCGAAAGCGUGGGGAGCAAACAGGCUUAGAUACCCUGGUA
rnacentral:rRNA from 1 species